rnacentral:lncRNA from 1 species
ACGAGGAAGGAUGGCGAGGGAGGAAACCGCGCUUUGUUGUUGAGGUGAGCCGGGUGCGCGACCACGAGGAAGGAUGGCGAGGGAGGAAACCGCGCUUUGUUGGUGAGGUGAACCGCGUGCACGAUCCCGAGGAAGUAUUGCCAGGGAGGAAACCGCGCUUUGUUCUUGAGGUGAGCCGGGUGCGCGACCAUGAGGAAGGAUGGCGAGGGAGGAAACCGCGCUUUGUUGGUGAGGUGAAACGGGUGCACGAUCCCGAGGAAGUAUUGCCAGGGAGGAAACCGCGCUUUGCUGGUGAGGUGUUCACGGAUAAUGAAGCUGAUGUGAGAGCCCUGGAGAGAAACAUCAGUCAAAGGCAUGCAGGUUGUGAAUACAAACCUCACUUGUUUCCAGACAGAUUCUUCAUCAUAAUGAUUAGGACAAUGACAGUACAAACAUUCUCAUCCUACAAAAAUAAGUAAUCACAACCACACCUUAUCCAAUAUCUGUACAGCAAUUGUGCCAUACACAUUAAAUUCAGAUUUUUAUAAUGUAAUUUAAUCUGUAUUUCAAGCCACAAUCUUGCUGAAGUUCAUAAUGUUUUGUUCCAACCAUUCUUGUAAUCCCCUCUGGUGACAUGCCAUGGUGCCAGCAUCUUAGUUGUUCCCAUGGCACUAGUAGGUGGAGGCAUCGAGACUGCUGUGUCCUCUCUUCUUGCAGGGAAUCCCAUCCAGCGUCCCUCUACUCUCCUCUGCAGCUUCCAUGGUUGGAAUGCUGAGCCAUUGCUAGGACGAUGAGGCUACAGGAAAGUGAAAUGCACCUGCUGCGAUCUGAUCCAACUGACCACUCCUGCUGCUCCUCCCUUGCACCUCAGGCAUCUCCUUCCAAUCUGGAGGAAACACUUUUACCUCCACUUUUCUUUUACAGUCCUCCAAACUCUGUUCCUUCUAGGGAGCACAAGUACAGAAAUAGAAACCUGGACUCCCAUCAUCCUGCUUCACAAACUUACAAUGUUAAAGAAAGAAAAAAAAAAAGACCAAGUACAUUACCUGGUAGAAUUGGAGAGAUGGGCACGAAAGAGCUGUAAAUACAGUUAGAAAACACACUAGCAUUUACAAAUGUGUAUGAGAAACAAUGAGGAGGAUUUUCAGAGACUAUCAUAACCAUUUAUUUUUCUAAUAUGUGAUAAGUAAACGCACAGAAAAUCAAUUUAAUAUUUGGGGCUUUUAUUUCUCAUUUUUUAGAUUGCCAGAAAGACUGUCCAGUGUUAUAAAGUUUGUGUCAAUAUUCUGGAAUUGGCAAUUUUGUCAUUUAUAUGGGAGAAAUAGCUAAAGGUGUAGUAUAAAGUAUUUGCUCGUAGGUAAUGGAAUGUUACCUUUACCCAAAGAUAUAAAAAAUAAACGGUAGAACAAAAACUCAGAGUGAAA